rnacentral:rRNA from 1 species
AUGCAAGUCGAACGGUGAAGGAGGAGCUUGCUCCUCCGGAUCAGUGGCGAACGGGUGAGUAACACGUGAGCAAUCUGCCCUUGACUCUGGGAUAAGCGUUGGAAACGACGUCUAAUACCGGAUACGACCACCGAUGGCAUCAUCUGGUGGUGGAAAGAACUUCGGUCAAGGAUGAGCUCGCGGCCUAUCAGGUUGUUGGUGAGGUAACGGCUCACCAAGCCUACGACGGGUAGCCGGCCUGAGAGGGUGACCGGCCACACUGGGACUGAGACACGGCCCAGACUCCUACGGGAGGCAGCAGUGGGGAAUAUUGCACAAUGGGCGCAAGCCUGAUGCAGCAACGCCGCGUGAGGGACGACGGCCUUCGGGUUGUAAACCUCUUUUAGUAGGGAAGAAGCGAAAGUGACGGUACCUGCAGAAAAAGCACCGGCUAACUACGUGCCAGCAGCCGCGGUAAUACGUAGGGUGCAAGCGUUGUCCGGAAUUAUUGGGCGUAAAGAGCUCGUAGGCGGUUUGUCGCGUCUGCUGUGAAAACUGGAGGCUCAACCUCCAGCCUGCAGUGGGUACGGGCAGACUAGAGUGCGGUAGGGGAGAUUGGAACUCCUGGUGUAGCGGUGGAAUGCGCAGAUAUCAGGAAGAACACCGAUGGCGAAGGCAGAUC